rnacentral:rRNA from 1 species
GGUUAAGCGACUAAGCGUACACGGUGGAUGCCCUGGCAGUCAGAGGCGAUGAAGGACGUGCUAAUCUGCGAUAAGCGUCGGUAAGGUGAUAUGAACCGUUAUAACCGGCGAUUUCCGAAUGGGGAAACCCAGUGUGUUUCGACACACUAUCAUUAACUGAAUCCAUAGGUUAAUGAGGCGAACCGGGGAACUGAAACAUCUAAGUACCCCGAGGAAAAGAAAUCAACCGAGAUUCCCCAGUAGCGGCGAGCGAACGGGGAGCAGCCCAGAGCCUGAAUCAGUGUGUGUGUUAGUGGAAGCGUCUGGAAAGGCGCGCGAUACAGGGUGACAGCCCCGUACACAAAAAUGCACAUACUGUGAGCUCGAUGAGUAGGGCGGGACACGUGGUAUCCUGUCUGAAUAUGGGGGACCAUCCUCCAAGGCUAAAUACUCCUGACUGACCGAUAGUGAACCAGUACCGUGAGGGAAAGGCGAAAAGAACCCCGGCGAGGGGAGUGAAAAAGAACCUGAAACCGUGUACGUACAAGCAGUGGGAGCCUCUUAAUGGGGUGACUGCGUACCUUUGUAUAAUGGGUCAGCGACUUAUAUUCUGUAGCAAGGUUAACCGAAUAGGGGAGCCGAAGGGAAACCGAGUCUUAACUGGGCGUUAAGUUGCAGGGUAUAGACCCGAAACCCGGUGAUCUAGCCAUGGGCAGGUUGAAGGUUGGGUAACACUAACUGGAGGACCGAACCGACUAAUGUUGAAAAAUUAGCGGAUGACUUGUGGCUGGGGUGAAAGGCCAAUCAAACCGGGAGAUAGCUGGUUCUCCCGAAAGCUAUUUAGGUAGCGCCUCGUGAAUUCAUCUCCGGGGUAGAGCACUGUUUCGGCAAGGGGUCAUCCCGACUUACCAACCCGAUGCAAACUGCGAAUACCGGAGAAUGUUAUCACGGGAGACACACGGCGGGUGCUAACGUCCGUCGUGAAGAGGGAAACAACCCAUACCGCCAGCUAAGGUCCCAAAGUCAUGGUUAAGUGGGAAACGAUGUGGGAAGGCCCAGACAGCCAGGAUGUUGGCUUAGAAGCAGCCAUCAUUUAAAGAAAGCGUAAUAGCUCACUGGUCGAGUCGGCCUGCGCGGAAGAUGUAACGGGGCUAAACCAUGCACCGAAGCUGCGGCAGCGACGCUUAUGCGUUGUUGGGUAGGGAGCGUUCUGUAAGCCUGCGAAGGUGUACUGUGAGGUAUGCUGGAGGUAUCAGAAGUGCGAAUGCUGACAUAAGUAACGAUAAAGCGGGUGAAAAGCCCGCUCGCCGGAAGACCAAGGGUUCCUGUCCAACGUUAAUCGGGGCAGGGUGAGUCGACCCCUAAGGCGAGGCCGAAAGGCGUAGUCGAUGGGAAACAGGUUAAUAUUCCUGUACUUGGUGUUACUGCGAAGGGGGACGGAGAAGGCUAUGUUGGCCGGGCGACGGUUGUCCCGGUUUAAGCGUGUAGGCUGGUUUUCCAGGCAAAUCCGGAAAAUCAAGGCUGAGGCGUGAUGACGAGGCACUACGGUGCUGAAGCAACAAAUGCCCUGCUUCCGGAAAAGCCUCUAAGCAUCAGGUAACAUCAAAUCGUACCCCAAACCGACACAGGUGGUCAGGUAGAGAAUACCAAGGCGCUUGAGAGAACUCGGGUGAAGGAACUAGGCAAAAUGGUGCCGUAACUUCGGGAGAAGGCACGCUGAUAUGUAGGUGAAGUCCCUCGCGGAUGGAGCUGAAAUCAGUCGAAGAUACCAGCUGGCUGCAACUGUUUAUUAAAAACACAGCACUGUGCAAACACGAAAGUGGACGUAUACGGUGUGACGCCUGCCCGGUGCCGGAAGGUUAAUUGAUGGGGUUAGCGGUAACGCGAAGCUCUUGAUCGAAGCCCCGGUAAACGGCGGCCGUAACUAUAACGGUCCUAAGGUAGCGAAAUUCCUUGUCGGGUAAGUUCCGACCUGCACGAAUGGCGUAAUGAUGGCCAGGCUGUCUCCACCCGAGACUCAGUGAAAUUGAACUCGCUGUGAAGAUGCAGUGUACCCGCGGCAAGACGGAAAGACCCCGUGAACCUUUACUAUAGCUUGACACUGAACAUUGAGCCUUGAUGUGUAGGAUAGGUGGGAGGCUUUGAAGUGUGGACGCCAGUCUGCAUGGAGCCGGCCUUGAAAUACCACCCUUUAAUGUUUGAUGUUCUAACGUUGGCCCCUGAUCGGGGUUGCGGACAGUGUCUGGUGGGUAGUUUGACUGGGGCGGUCUCCUCCUAAAGAGUAACGGAGGAGCACGAAGGUUGGCUAAUCCUGGUCGGACAUCAGGAGGUUAGUGCAAUGGCAUAAGCCAGCUUGACUGCGAGCGUGACGGCGCGAGCAGGUGCGAAAGCAGGUCAUAGUGAUCCGGUGGUUCUGAAUGGAAGGGCCAUCGCUCAACGGAUAAAAGGUACUCCGGGGAUAACAGGCUGAUACCGCCCAAGAGUUCAUAUCGACGGCGGUGUUUGGCACCUCGAUGUCGGCUCAUCACAUCCUGGGGCUGAAGUAGGUCCCAAGGGUAUGGCUGUUCGCCAUUUAAAGUGGUACGCGAGCUGGGUUUAGAACGUCGUGAGACAGUUCGGUCCCUAUCUGCCGUGGGCGCUGGAGAACUGAGGGGGCUGCUCCUAGUACGAGAGGACCGGAGUGGACGCAUCACUGGUGUUCGGGUUGUCAUGCCAAUGGCACUGCCCGGUAGCUAAAUGCGGAAGAGAUAAGUGCUGAAAGCAUCUAAGCACGAAACUUGCCCCGAGAUGAGUUCUCCCUGACUCCUUGAGAGUCCUGAAGGAACGUUGAAGACGACGACGUUGAUAGGCCGGGUGUGUAAGCGCAGCGAUGCGUUGAGCUAACCGGUACUAAUGAACCGUGAGGCUUAACCUU